rnacentral:rRNA from 1 species
UGCGCUAAUAGAUGAGCCUAAGUCAGAUUAGCUAGUUGGUGGGGUAAAGGCCUACCAAGGCGACGAUCUGUAGCGGGUCUGAGAGGAUGAUCCGCCACACUGGGACUGAGACACGGCCCAGACUCCUACGGGAGGCAGCAGUGGGGAAUAUUGGACAAUGGGCGAAAGCCUGAUCCAGCCAUGCCGCGUGUGUGAAGAAGGCCUUUUGGUUGUAAAGCACUUUAAGCGAGGAGGAGGCUACUUGGAUUAAUACUCUAGGAUAGUGGACGUUACUCGCAGAAUAAGCACCGGCUAACUCUGUGCCAGCAGCCGCGGUAAUACAGAGGGUGCGAGCGUUAAUCGGAUUUACUGGGCGUAAAGCGUGCGUAGGCGGCUUUUUAAGUCGGAUGUGAAAUCCCUGAGCUUAACUUAGGAAUUGCAUUCGAUACUGGGAAGCUAGAGUAUGGGAGAGGAUGGUAGAAUUCCAGGUGUAGCGGUGAAAUGCGUAGAGAUCUGGAGGAAUACCGAUGGCGAAGGCAGCCAUCUGGCCUAAUACUGACGCUGAGGUACGAAAGCAUGGGGAGCAAACAGGAUUAGAUACCCUGGUAGUCCAUGCCGUAAACGAUGUCUACUAGCCGUUGGGGCCUUUGAGGCUUUAGUGGCGCAGCUAACGCGAUAAGUAGAC